rnacentral:lncRNA from 1 species
ACAACCAUAGACAAAUGACUUUAUUCUUUCGAGUUCAUCCAAGCCACCACAUAAUCGUAAAUCACUUUUAUAUAAGACCAUGCAACAGUAGUUAACUCGCAGAAUGAAACCCUUAACAGACGAGUUUCAUAUCGUAUAUUGAUCCUAAUGUUAUUCGAAUAUAUGUGAAGGGAAGGAACAUGAAGUGACUGCUUCAAACAUGCUUCUGCACCAGUUCAUCAUUCAUCACCACCACAGUUGGCUCCAAUUGAUAGACUCUGAUGCUCCAACCGCCAUCUGCUGCUUAAACAUAGAAAUCCUCGCUUGUUGUGCUUAUUUCUUCGCAUAUUCCCUGGCCCCGAAUAUGAUGGACCCAACUCUCACAUUCGUACUCCCCAUUUCAAUCUGCACCAACCACAAUCACUUCAAAGUCUUUAUCACA